GACGAACGCUGGCGGCGUGCUUAACACAUGCAAGUCGAACGGAAAGGCCCUGCUUUUGUGGGGUGCUCGAGUGGCGAACGGGUGAGUAACACGUGAGUAACCUGCCCUUGACUUUGGGAUAACUUCAGGAAACUGGGGCUAAUACCGGAAAGGAGCUCCUGCUGCAUGGUGGGGGUUGGAAAGUUUCGGCGGUUGGGGAUGGACUCGCGGCUUAUCAGCUUGUUGGUGGGGUAGUGGCUUACCAAGGCUUUGACGGGUAGCCGGCCUGAGAGGGUGACCGGCCACAUUGGGACUGAGAUACGGCCCAGACUCCUACGGGAGGCAGCAGUGGGGAAUAUUGCACAAUGGGCGGAAGCCUGAUGCAGCAACGCCGCGUGCGGGAUGACGGCCUUCGGGUUGUAAACCGCUUUCGCCUGCGACGAAGCGUGAGUGACGGUAAUGGGUAAAGAAGCACCGGCUAACUACGUG
rnacentral:rRNA from 1 species